rnacentral:sRNA from 1 species
UGUGCAAUACUAUAUUUAUCCACUCUCGACAUUUAAAUUUUGAGACCUCACAUUUUAAAUUAAAAAGUUUAACUGUCUCGAGUGGAUAAAUAUUGUAUCACACUUGAUGCA